rnacentral:lncRNA from 1 species
AGAUCUCCUUCCCCUCUACGCAAAGACCUCGAUUUCCAAAAAGAAAAAGGUAAAUAUCCAUCCCUAUCUAGUCUUUUGAUGACAUUAGGCUAUACAAAGGGUGGAUAUAGUCUAGAGGGGUCGGAUAAGGGUUGUAGAGGUGGUUAAAAGAGGAAGAAUCGGAUUUUAACAAAUUUUUCCGGCACUACGGAAAAACUGUGUCGAAGUCCAACUUCGGCGAAUUAUUUAGGGGGUCAAACGGCCUCCGAUGAUGAUGCAUGUUAUCUCUUUGGAAUCCUCUAUGAGUGUAGAAUGUUAGGUAAAAAUUUCAUCAAAUUUGGAGUCCUGAAAGUAGAUCAAAACCGGGAUAAAGUAACCCACUGUCAGUUCGGGUUACUGUUCAUCCGGGUGGAAAAUAAGGGAUUUCAUGCCAUAAUAGGGUAUUAAGCCUAGAUUAGGCUAAGGGAGACUUUGUACUCGUGCAAGGGAGUCCCUAAUACACAUAAAUGAUGAGUUAAUUAAUAGAAAAAGAAAAA